rnacentral:rRNA from 1 species
UACAGAGGGUGCGAGCGUUAAUCGGAAUUACUGGGCGUAAAGCGCGCGUAGGCGGCUUUGCAAGUCGGGUGUGAAAUCCCCAGGCUUAACCUGGGAACUGCAUUCGAGACUGCAUUGCUAGAGUAUGGGAGAGGGAAGUGGAAUUUCCGGUGUAGCGGUGAAAUGCGUAGAUAUCGGAAGGAACAUCAGUGGCGAAGGCGGCAUCCUGGACCGGUAUUGACGCUGAGGCGCGAAAGCCAGGGGAGCAAACGGG